GCAUAUCAAUAAGCGGAGGAAAAGAAACCAACAGGGAUUACCUCAGUAACGGCGAGUGAAGCGGUAACAGCUCAAAUUUGAAAGCUAGCUCUUCUAGGGUUCGCAUUGUAAUUUGUAGAAGAUGCUUCGGGUGUGGCCCCGGUCUAAGUUCCUUGGAACAGGACGUCAUAGAGGGUGAGAAUCCCGUAUGUGACUGGGUGCUUUCGCUCAUGUGAAGCUCUUUCGACGAGUCGAGUUGUUUGGGAAUGCAGCUCAAAAUGGGUGGUAAAUUUCAUCUAAAGCUAAAUAUUGGCCAGAGACCGAUAGCGCACAAGUAGAGUGAUCGAAAGAUGAAAAGCACUUUGGAAAGAGAGUUAAACAGUACGUGAAAUUGUUGAAAGGGAAGCGCUUGCAACCAGACUUGCGCGCUGAUGAUCAUCCGGGCUUCUGUCCGGUGCACUCGUCUGCGCUCAGGCCAGCAUCGGUUUCGGUGGUGGGAUAAAGGCCUUGGGAAUGUAGCUUCUUUCGGGGAGUGUUAUAGCCCUCGGUGCAAUGCCGCCUACCGGGACCGAGGACCGCGCUUCGGCUAGGAUGCUGGCGUAAUGGUUGUAAGCGACCCGUCUUGAAACACGGACCAAGGAGUCUAACAUCUAUGCGAGUGUUUGGGUGUCAAACCCAUACGCGUAAUGAAAGUGAACGGAGGUGAGAACCCUUAAGGGUGCAUCAUCGACCGAUCCUGAUGUCUUCGGAUGGAUUUGAGUAAGAGCAUAGCUGUUGGGACCCGAAAGAUGGUGAACUAUGCGUGAAUAGGGUGAAGCCAGAGGAAACUCUGGUGGAGGCUCGCAGCGGUUCUGACGUGCAAAUCGAUCGUCAAAUUUGCGUAUAGGGGCGAAAGACUAAUCGAACCAUCUAGUAGCUGGUUCCUGCCGAAG
rnacentral:rRNA from 1 species